UCCCCUCACUCGCCCCCGCCCCCUGGGCGGCCGUGGAGUCGAGGGGAAGGCGGGAAGGGCCUCCUGAGGAGAGCUGGCGGGCGCGAACGCGGGCUCCGCCACCCGAGCCGCUCCGUUACCGCAGCGGCGACGACGACCAGGGCCGUGUUGUUGCUGCCAACUUGUCGAAAGGACACUGAGCAUGCGCGCACGGAGACCACAUCCGGGAAAUACUUCCGUUGGGGAUCCCAUGGAAACUAAUGAUUGGGAAGCUGUAAAGUCAUUUCUUUGGUCUCAUCACCCUCCUACCUUUCACACACAGUGUCCUACCUCCUAUUCCCAUGCUACCCUACCCGCCAUCACAUCCUGGGCUCUUACCUCUUCUCCCAGAAAGCCUCUACAACUGUCGUAUUCACUGGUGUUCCCUCCUCCUGAGGUUCAGGAAGACUUUCCAAGACUAGUUUUAACGGAAUCCAUUUACACAUCUUCCACAGCUAUAUGUACUCUUUAAUAAACAUCACUCAGCUUGAGAAAUCACCUAAGGACAGAGUGUCCCCUUUCAAAACUGUCCUCCUCCCACCUGAUGGAAGAAAAGUAAAACUCUCACCCAUUACUUAAGGCGCAUCAACUCAAGAUGUUAAAACCUCCAUGGCAAUCCAAAGGGACAAUUCAGAAAUUGGCGUCUGUGAUGUGGAAGUGGAUGCCCCAAAUGAACGGGUUAUAAAUUCUUUUGCAGUUCA